ACAGCAGCAGCCACGGUAAUACGGAGGGUGCAAGCGUUAUCCGGAUUUAUUGGGUUUAAAGGGUCCGUAGGCGGACUUAUAAGUCAGUGGUGAAAGCCUGUCGCUUAACGAUAGAACUGCCAUUGAUACUGUAAGUCUUGAGUAUAUUUGAGGUAGCUGGAAUAAGUAGUGUAGCGGUGAAAUGCAUAGAUAUUACUUAGAACACCAAUUGCGAAGGCAGGUUACCAAGAUAUAACUGACGCUGAGGGACGAAAGCGUGGGUAGCGAACAGGAUUAGAGACCCCUGUAGUCCCUGUCUCUUAUAA
rnacentral:rRNA from 1 species